GGGCGCACACGGCGUGUUUUUACGUGGCCUCUCUGAGAAACGCGCUCGUUUUGCUGCUUUCAUCAGAUGGAAGAGGUUCCCUCUAUCAGACUCGCUCAUCUGAGUUGGUCAUGAUGCAGGAUCGCUGCUCGCUCUCUCAUCCAUCCUGCUCACACUCUCCGACGGAAAAGCCCCGAAUCUGAAUGUGACUCUGGAGGAAAAAGCGGUUAGCUCUACUCCGUGAACUCUGCUGUUAGCUAAACACGGCUAAAGAAAACCUGCUACCACUUCAGGAUCUGGGACUGAUUCAUCGUGUGUUCUUCACCACCUGGACCUGGACAGCAUGGACACAGAAGAGUCCUUGGGACGGCAUGUGGCUUUGGCUCUUAUCAUAUCCAGGUCUGCCCGACACGGCCUCUGCCUUUGGACCGCUUUAAGAUUCAACUUCAAAAGCGGUUAGCUCUACUCCGUGAACUCUGCUGUUAGCUAAACACGGCUAAAGAAAACCUGCUACCACUUCAGGAUCAUCCAUCAGCUGGGACUGAUUCAUCGUGUGUUCUUCACCACCUGGACCUGGACAGCAUGGACACAGGUACUGGUGGAUGGAUUAAUUAAU